UGCCAGCAGCCGCGGUAACACCCGCGCCACGAGUGGCAACCAGUAUUAUUGGGUCUAAAGCGUCCGUAGCUGGUUUGGUAAGUCCCUGGUGAAAUCCGACAGUAAACUGUCGGGCGUGCUGGGGUUACUGCCAGACUCGAGACCGGGAGAGGGCAUAGGUACUUUCAGGGUAGGGGUUAAAUCCUAUAAUCCUGAGGGGACCACCUGUGGCGAAGGCGUAUGCCUGGAACGGGUCUGACAGUGAGGGACGAAAGCUAGGGGAGCGAUCGGGAUUAGAUA
rnacentral:rRNA from 1 species